CACCACAAGUCAGACUCCCUCACCCCUGCGUGUUGCAUUAGGCACACCUGAAUCUGCAUAUUUUUCCCUGAUUCCCUAUGGGCUACAGGGAAGACAUAUACAGGCAGACUCUCUGUGCCCACAGUCAAAGUGAAUCUCCUGCCCGGAACCACCCCUCCCUAUCAAAAACAAUACCCGCUAAGCCCAGCACAGGAAGAUGCUAUUUCCCAAUCUAUGCAAGAGUUACU